UACGUAGGUCGCAAGCGUUGUCCGGAUUUACUGGGCGUAAAGAGCGCGCAGGCGGCUGGUCAAGUCCGAUGUGAAAUCUCCCGGCUCAACUGGGAAACUGCAUCGGAAACUGAUCGGCUUGAAGAUGGGAGAGGGUAGUGGAAUUCCCGGUGUAGUGGUGAAAUGCGUAGAUAUCGGGAGGGAACACCAGUGGCGAAGGCGACUACCUGGCCCAUUCUUGACGCUGAGGCGCGAAAGCUAGGGGAGC
rnacentral:rRNA from 1 species